rnacentral:rRNA from 1 species
AUAAUGGGUCAGCGACUUAUAUUCUGUAGCAAGGUUAACCGAAUAGGGGAGCCGAAGGGAAACCGAGUCUUAACUGGGCGUUAAGUUGCAGGGUAUAGACCCGAAACCCGGUGAUCUAGCCAUGGGCAGGUUGAAGGUUGGGUAACACUAACUGGAGGACCGAACCGACUAAUGUUGAAAAAUUAGCGGAUGACUUGUGGCUGGGGGUGAAAGGCCAAUCAAACCGGGAGAUAGCUGGUUCUCCCCGAAAGCUAUUUAGGUAGCGCCUCGUGAAUUCAUCUCCGGGGGUAGAGCACUGUUUCGGCAAGGGGGUCAUCCCGACUUACCAACCCGAUGCAAACUGCGAAUACCGGAGAAUGUUAUCACGGGAGACACACGGCGGGUGCUAACGUCCGUCGUGAAGAGGGAAACAACCCAGACCGCCAGCUAAGGUCCCAAAGUCAUGGUUAAGUGGGAAACGAUGUGGGAAGGCCCAGACAGCCAGGAUGUUGGCUUAGAAGCAGCCAUCAUUUAAAGAAAGCGUAAUAGCUCACUGGUCGAGUCGGCCUGCGCGGAAGAUGUAACGGGGCUAAACCAUGCACCGAAGCUGCGGCAGCGACGCUUAUGCGUUGUUGGGUAGGGGAGCGUUCUGUAAGCCUGCGAAGGUGUGCUGUGAGGCAUGCUGGAGGUAUCAGAAGUGCGAAUGCUGACAUAAGUAACGAUAAAGCGGGUGAAAAGCCCGCUCGCCGGAAGACCAAGGGUUCCUGUCCAACGUUAAUCGGGGCAGGGUGAGUCGACCCCUAAGGCGAGGCCGAAAGGCGUAGUCGAUGGGAAACAGGUUAAUAUUCCUGUACUUGGUGUUACUGCGAAGGGGGGACGGAGAAGGCUAUGUUGGCCGGGCGACGGUUGUCCCGGUUUAAGCGUGUAGGCUGGUUUUCCAGGCAAAUCCGGAAAAUCAAGGCUGAGGCGUGAUGACGAGGCACUACGGUGCUGAAGCAACAAAUGCCCUGCUUCCAGGAAAAGCCUCUAAGCAUCAGGUAACAUCAAAUCGUACCCCAAACCGACACAGGUGGUCAGGUAGAGAAUACCAAGGCGCUUGAGAGAACUCGGGUGAAGGAACUAGGCAAAAUGGUGCCGUAACUUCGGGAGAAGGCACGCUGAUAUGUAGGUGAAGCGACUUGCUCGUGGAGCUGAAAUCAGUCGAAGAUACCAGCUGGCUGCAACUGUUUAUUAAAAACACAGCACUGUGCAAACACGAAAGUGAACGUAUACGGUGUGACGCCUGCCCGGUGCCGGAAGGUUAAUUGAUGGGGUUAGCGCAAGCGAAGCUCUUGAUCGAAGCCCCGGUAAACGGCGGCCGUAACUAUAACGGUCCUAAGGUAGCGAAA